AGUCGUCGUUUUGAUAGCAGUUCAGGUCAUAGUGCUUGUCUGUCGGUGCUGUUUGAUAAAGCGACGCCAGGCGGUGUACGAAAGAAUAACAGGUACAACAGUUCCGGUGGGAGCCAGUCCGGGGGAGAGACCUGCUCUGCAGUACGUCCGAGUCCCCGGCACUGCCUACCAGUACGCGCCGGUGCCUACAGCUCCCCCAUACAGUGCAGCAAUACCAAAAGAAGAGGAGCCCCCGCCACCAUAUGAACCCUAAACGACUGCUGAGUGGAACGAUUAGCAAGAACUCGACAGACUUUUCUAUUGUUACGGCUGGCCCCGAUAACGUGCUUAAAAUGUAUACGUACACUUAAUCCCCAAAUAGAGAAUCACUUCAUUCAAUAGUUGAUAAUGAUCAACAAAUAAUUAGGGAGGGGAGUGUAAUCGGGGAAUUGAGAAUACUGGUUAUAGCCUUUUGUAUGUUA